ACCACCAUUAGAAGGAAAAAAAACUAAGGAAGAUGUGCCAAAAUACAAGUUACAUAUUAUUCUAUGUAUUAUCUCUAACAAAUCUCAUAAAUCCUUCAAGGUUCGGAGGAGGUUGCGUUGGUGGUGGUGGAAAAGAAGCUUGUUCAUCACCACUUCCGGGCGAAGCCGAAUCCUCCGCAAGUUCCGCUAUCAUUUCUUCAUAAGCUUCAUCUAUCGCCGGUUGUGUUUCUGCAAUUCCAAAGUUUCUUCUUUCCGAGCGGAUCCAAUCUCUAAACAAUACUGAUUUUUCCAAGCUAUCCCUCAUAGACGCUCUAUGAUCACCUAUUUGCAGUCUUGCUUGACUGAAAGCGCUCUCUGAUGCAACAGUUGAAGCUUGAAUUGAUAAAAUAUCCCGAGCCAUCCUUGCAAGAACAGGAAAAUGUUUUUCCCUUGCCUUCCACCAUUCCAAAAGAUCAAAAGAGCCGUCUGGAUUCUCCUUUUCAAGUCCCUGAGACAAAUAAACUUGAAGCUCAUUUAUAUGUGAAGUUUCAUCAUAAUUUUCACCUUGAGACCCCCA
rnacentral:lncRNA from 1 species